UGGGGUGUAGCUUAGUGGUAGAGCACUUGCCUAGCAGCCUAGCAUGUAUGAUGCCCUGGGUUUGAUUCCCAGUACUAAAC
rnacentral:tRNA from 1 species